rnacentral:rRNA from 1 species
AUGCAGACGGCGCUCAAGGCGGCCAACUCCGUCGUGGGGCUCGCCGGCAUGGACGUCAUCCUCUACGCGCUUUGGGUGCUCCGAGCCUGGUCCAAGCAGCACUCCGUGGUGGGGCUCGCCCAGUUUAUCUACACUCUUCUCAGCCUGGGAAUCAUCAUGUGCUUGCUGACCUGCUCGGGCCACAUCGCCGCUGAAACUGCAAACAACCCCUGCCUGUCUUGUCACGUGAUCUUUGUAUUCUUGCUUGUGAUGCUGGAAGCUGCAAUCGGCGCCGAUGUAUUUCUUAAUAGCUACUGGGAGGAGCCUUUUAGAGAUUCCAUGCAAUUUAUAAAUUAUAAUUUCAGUGAUGUCUCAUCCUUCUCAUUUGUUGUCCAACGCCUGUUUUUAGGAAAGAAAACAAACUCAAAAACCGUUCAUCUCAACCCAAGUAGCCACCUCUAUGACAAUCAUGAAAUAAAUCACCAAACUUGUAAGUGCAUCGGGCCUAUAGCGGGUGCCAGCGUACUGGUUUGCUCACGGUCCAGCGCAGUAGAGGGGGAGCUCCUAUCUGGCGCUUCAGGUGUCGCCAAGCCCUCUAUAGUGCUCUCACGGAAUGCACGGCAAGCUGCGGCCCAUUAG